GACGCUAAAGCAUUUUCCCCCUGCAGAGCAUGUUGCAACAUUUAUCAGUCACACUGAGAAUCCAGAAGAUGAAGGAAAAGGUCACGUCGUUCGCUGAGAACUUACCGAAGUUGAACUCCCUCACUUUCCGCUUCCCAGCAUUGGCGGGUUCCGGGACUGGUGGCUGCGGUAGCUCAUUGGCCUUUGGUCUCUUAGACGGUGGAGAAUAAUCAUCAUCUUGAAAAAGAAAAUGGUCAUUACUGGAAGAACCAUCUUACAGUUACAGUCACCUCCUGGUCAAUUCCCAACAUUCAAAAGCUAAAGAAACAGGCUCAGAGGAUGUUAUUUGAUUGGACUAUGUUGUAUCUCUGGAGAGCACAGCUGAGAUCAGACUGUGUGUGUGUAACUCCACUAGACUACGAGGGUGCUUCUCAUAAAGGGUUGCAAGAUCAUAGUUCUCGGGGUGUUUAAAGGCAACACCUUCCGGAAGCCCCUGCACUACCACAGCCGACUGGUCUCGCAGCAUCUUCUCAUAUGGUACAGGUACCACUGUGGAUUUGCCUAAAGCUUUCCCUGGGGCAGAUGAAAAGCGGAUGAACAUCAUUCAAUGUGCAGGCCUACCCAACUAUGGAAUGAUGGAACAGAAGGCCUCACCAUGGACUCGAGAGCUGACAUGAGGAAUGUCACCACCAUCCUGCUCUCCGAGGACUCCUCAUCUUCAACGGGGAGGGUGGACAUUGCAACUUGGGCCAUGAUCCCUGUGCAGGAGAAGUAAGAAGAAAUAGGCCAAAGUGGUAAAAAGCAAAUGAGUACUGCCAGAAACAGGCAUGGAAUACCAAAACAAGAAUUUUACAGAGGAGAAAACAAACAGGAAGACAGCAGGGAGAGUUCCAGAACAAAAGGACAACAGUAAAGGACGACAGGGCAAGAAUGGAGAAUGAAGAAUUAUCAAGACAAUACCUUCACCUCUUCCGAUGACGUACCCACACAAUUUUUACAGGAUACACACAUCCUUGGCUGGGUGCGGUGGCCCAGCACUUUCGGAGGCCAAGGCGGGCAGAUCACCUGAGGUCAGGAGUUUGAGACCAACCUGGCCAACACGGUGAAACCCCGUCUCUACUAAAAAUACAAAAUUAGCCGGGCAUGGUGGCGGGUGCCUAUAGUCCCAGCUACUUAGGAGACUGAGGCAGGAGAAUCGCUUGAACCCAGGAGGCGAAGGUUGCAGUGAGCCAAGAUCACGCCACUGCACUCCAGCCUGGGUGACAAAAGCGAGACUCUGUCUCAAAAAUAAAUAAUAAUAAAAUAAAAUGCAAUAAAAAAACACACAUCUUCUAAGACACUAAGGCGUUUUGCUCCCCCAGGUAGGUAGCCCCAAUACACUUUAGUUAACCGAGUAUGAGUCUUCAUAGAGCUAUGCUGCCAGCUUAAGCCUACUGAUUCCCAAGUAUCUCAACUCUACAAUUAGAAUAAGCAACUGAUUAGGUGUAUUUUCUACUUUCUUUCAGUUAUUAACAAUGAAUAACCUUCACUCAAUAAACGAACCAGGCGCAGUGGCUCACGCCUGUAAUCUCAGCACUUGGGGAGGCCGAGGUGGGUGGAUCACUUGAGGUCAGGAGUUGGAGACCACCAGCCUGGCUAACAUGGUGAAACCCCAUCUCUAUGAAAAAUACAAAAAAAUUAGCUGGGCAUGGUGGCACAUGCCUGUAAUCCCAGCUACUCGUGAGGCUAAGGCACAAGAAUCGCUUGAGCCCGGGAAUCGGAGGUUGCAGAGAGCUGAGAUGGCACCACUGCACUCCAGCCUGGGCCACAGAGCGAGACUCCAUCUCAAAAAAAUAAAUAAAUACUUUCCCUUAGACUGACAUAAAAAUGAUUUGAC
rnacentral:lncRNA from 1 species